rnacentral:tRNA from 1 species
GGCCGGCGCUAGAUCAGGGGCGCGCGGUGUGGUCGCCGCGCGCGGUGCGGACGCGCUGCGUCAGUGCCUCGAGUUCGAUCCGCCAUGCCGGCCA